AUAAUAGAUUAAUAGAUUAAAUGCUAAAUGACCUCAUAAUGGCCCGAAUUGCAAUUGACCAUUUUAUGAUUAAUGAUAUUGAUCCAAUCACAUUGACUCUGUUCUGAUCCUUUUUGAUGCUUUUUUGUUUUUUUUUAAGGCAUCUUUAUUUUAUUUUAGCAUGCAAUACAUAUAUCUGCAGAUAAUACACAAGUAUCAGAGUAAC